GACGAACGCUGGCGGCGUGCUUAACAUAUGCAAGUCGAGCGGUAAGGCCCUUUCGGGGGUACACGAGCGGCGAACGGGUGAGUAACACGUGGGUGACCUGCCCUCAGCUCUGGGAUAAGCCUGGGAAACCGGGUCUAAUACUGGAUAUGACUCCAUGACGCAUGUUGUGGGGUGAAAGCCUUGUGCGGCUGAGGAUGGGCCCGCGGCCUAUCAGCUUGUUGGUGGGGUGANGGCCUACCAAGGCGACGACGGGUAGCCGGCCUGAGAGGGCGACCGGCCACACUGGGACUGAGACACGGCCCAGACUCCUACGGGAGGCAGCAGUGGGGAAUCUUGCGCAAUGGGCGAAAGCCUGACGCAGCGACGCCGCGUGAGGGAUGACGGCCU
rnacentral:rRNA from 1 species